CAUUGCUCGCACUGCAAGUCUGAUCAAGCUCUGAAAGGGGGUUCAAGCAUCCAGAAAGAAACUCAAAAUGGUUUGUGGCUCAUCCUAAAAAGACCUGUGUGCAAGAAACAGGACAGAGGCAGUGCUGGACAGAAAGUGGUUGCUUUGUUCUGGCUGCAAGCUGGGGUUAUCCUUUCUGCAUCGACACUAGAAAACAUCCGCAAGUAUCUGGUCUUGUUUCCUGAUGUCUGUUCACUGAGGACAAAUCUACAUUUCUCUAUGCUGAGAUCUGCCCAUAGAAAAUUACAUUCUAGGAUCAAGAAUCACAAAGGACCUUUCCUUUUAGACUUUCCUUUAAGAGGUACACAACAUAAUGAGCAAAAUGGAAUGAAGUGUAUUAACCUUUGGAAGAUGAAAGGUAAUCAGGUCUGAACCAAUGCUCCCUGUGGUUAGACCACAAGCUUUUAUGAAUGCUUUUUGAUUGGUCUGUGUAUCUCAACAUUUCCUAGGAGGGCAUUCUCAUAGGUCAUAUGUUAUUGGAGGAGGGGUAUCAAAACAAAAAAACACACCAAAACUAAGAUGAGGAUGAGAGUUGAUCCAGAAGUGUUUAAUUUUCAUCUCCUAAACCAAAACAAAUACAAUGACUUUAGAAGCAAUUGGCUUUUGACUGCUACUACAAAAUACAGAGAAUGUUAAGGAGGUGGAAAAUGAGCUCAAGUUCCUAUUAUUUGUGAGUCCACACAUUAUUGUAUUGUGAAUGCUUGCCCCUUGUUCGUCUUUGUAGGCAAAAGAUCAAAUUGUCUUCUCAGGUUGUCAGGAAAGGAGAAUGUUCUGGAGGUAAUUUGGAGAAUACAGUCAUCUUUUCAACAUGGCCUUAGUGGUUUCUUUGCCAGUCUGUGACACUGAGACAGCUUUCCUGCCAACUGCAGGAGAUCUGAGAGCUUGGUGACCUUCCUC
rnacentral:lncRNA from 14 species